AGUGGAUUGCAUCUCGCACAGGAUCAACCCAGCUUAAGACCUUAUCAAACCACAAUCUCUAUGUCCAUGUAUGACUUCGUGAGGAGAUACACUUUCAUAUUUUUGUUCUUGAAGCAUAAUCAAUGACCACGGUUGCGAGGGAUAUCUGGCAGUGAAUGUUAUGGAUGGCUUUGUCACUAGUCUGCCAGAUUAGCAGGAGCAGUUUGCUUAAGCUUCAGCUCACCGUGAGGAAGAGCAGCACUGAAUGUACUCAUCAUCCACUGAAGUGCCAGUGACAUGGGGGAGGUC